rnacentral:rRNA from 1 species
GAGUUUGAUCCUGGCUCAGAUUGAACGCUGGCGGCAUGCCUUACACAUGCAAGUCGAACGGCAGCAUGAUCUAGCUUGCUAGAUUGAUGGCGAGUGGCGAACGGGUGAGUAAUACAUCGGAACGUGCCCUGUAGUGGGGGAUAACUAGUCGAAAGAUUAGCUAAUACCGCAUACGACCUGAGGGUGAAAGUGGGGGACCGCAAGGCCUCAUGCUAUAGGAGCGGCCGAUGUCUGAUUAGCUAGUUGGUGGGGUAAAGGCCCACCAAGGCGACGAUCAGUAGCUGGUCUGAGAGGACGAUCAGCCACACUGGGACUGAGACACGGCCCAGACUCCUACGGGAGGCAGCAGUGGGGAAUUUUGGACAAUGGGCGAAAGCCUGAUCCAGCAAUGCCGCGUGUGUGAAGAAGGCCUCCGGGUGUAAAGCACUUUGUCCGGAAAGAAAUGGCUCUGGUUAAUACCUGGGUCGAUGACGGUACCGGAAGAAUAAGGACCGGCUAACUACGUG